AGGACGAACGCUGGCGGCGUGCCUAACACAUGCAAGUGGAGCGACGACCCGGGCUUCGGCCCGGUGCAAAGCCGCGAACGGGUGAGUAACACGUGGGUAACCUGCCCUGAUGAUUGGGACAACCCGAGGAAACUCGGGCUAAUACCGAAUGUGCCCUCUGGCCGUAAGGCCUCUGGGGAAAGGAAGCUUCGGCCUCCGCAUUGGGAUGGGCCCGCGGCCCAUUAGCUUGUUGGUGAGGUAACGGCUCACCAAGGCGAUGAUCGGUA
rnacentral:rRNA from 1 species